rnacentral:lncRNA from 1 species
UUUUAAAGCAGCACCCAAUGGUAGUGUUUGUCUGGGAGAGUUCAGCAGCAGAGUGCAGGGGAAAAAGCACGGAGGAGCAGAACCAAGGGUUGCAUUGCCAGUUAAUUCUGCACUUUGGGGGAUUUCCCACCCAAUUUCUGCAUUUUGGGGGAGUUCCAGGCAGGCCCACCCUGAGCAGGGUCUGGGUCAGGUUCCCCUGUGCCCCCCCAGCAGCUCCUGCAGUUCCAGUUCCUAAGCAGGAGGGGAGGGUGCCCGGGGCUGGGGCACAGCUGGGCACAGCUGCAGGAGGGUCCAGCUCUGCAGCCAGCGUUGGUAAUCUCGGCUCUCAGGUGGGUUUGAAUGCCUGGAGGUGGCCCUGGAGGGCAGUGGGAGCUCGUGGCUGGUCACACAUCAGCAGCAAUCCCUCGCCGCCUUUGUUCCCUCUCCUGUUUGGUGACCCCAGCCCUGCCAUCCUCCAUCCCAAAGUGCUCCAGGAGCCUCCUGUCCUGGUGGGGAGUGCCCACAGCCAGCCCAGCUCCCAAAGCUGUGAGCAGCACAUCCCAGCACAAAGCAGAGCUGGGAUGCUCGGAUCCAGUCUGUCCCCAGCACAUCCCAAAGCUGUGAGCACACCCCAGCACACAUCCCAGGGCUGGGAUGCUCAGAUCCAGUCAAUCCCCAGCACACCCCAGCACAAAGGCAGGGCUGGGAUGCUCAGAUCCAAUCCCCAGCACAUCCCCAAGCUGUGAGCACACCCCAGCACACAUCCCAGGGCUGGGAUGCUCAGAUCCAGUUAAUCCCCAGCACAUCCCAGCACACAUCCCAGGGCUGGGAUGCUCAGAUCCAGUUAAUCCCCAGCACAUCCCAGCACACAUCCCAGGGCUGGGAUGCUCAGAUCCAGUUAAUCCCCAGCACAUCCCAGCACACAUCCCAGGGCUGGGAUGCUCAGAUCCAGUUAAUCCCCAGCACAUCCCAGCACACAUCCCAGGGCUGGGAUGCUCAGAUCCAGUUAAUCCCCAGCACAUCCCAGCACACAUCCCAGGGCUGGGAUGCUCAGAUCCAAUCCCCAGUUUAUCCCCAAGCUGUGAGCACACCCCAGCACACAGCCAGGGCUGGAGUGUUCAGAUCCAGUUGAUCCCCAGCUCCCAGCUGAGCUCAAAGCUUGAGCAGCACAUCCCAGCAAAAAGCAGGGCUGGAGUGUUCAGAUCCAGUCGAUCCCCAGCUCAUAACAAAGCUGUGAGCACACCCCAGCACACAUCCCAGGGCUGGGAUGCUCAGAUCCAGUCAAUCCCCAGCACAUCCCAGCACACAUCCCAGGGCUGGGAUGCUCAGAUCCAGUCAAUCCCCAGCACACCCCAGCACAAAGGCAGGGCUGGGAUGCUCAGAUCCAAUCCCCAGCACAUCCCAGCACACAUCCCAGGGCUGGGAUGCUCAGAUCCAGUCAAUCCCCAGCACACCCCAGCACAAAGGCAGGGCUGGGAUGCUCAGAUCCAAUCCCCAGCACAUCCCAGCACACAUCCCAGGGCUGGGAUGCUCAGAUCCAAUCCCCAGCACAUCCCAGCACACAUCCCAGGGCUGGGAUGCUCGGAUCCAGUCGAUCCUGGCGUUCUGGCCUCGUUGCCAUGACAGCAGAGCACCAGGGCUGCUCCUCUGCUCUGCUCUCCUCUCUGGAAACGCUGCCCUGCUGCUGAGCACUCCCAGCUCCUCACCCAGCAGGCACCGACCCCCGGCUGCUGCUGCCACCUCGGGUGCUCUGGGGAUUUUUGCUGCCCCUCUGGAAGGUGGGCAGAAAGGCACAGCAGUCCCUGGCAUGGAGAAGCAGGGAAUGCAGCCACAGAACUGGUGGAUUCCCAUCGAGAUGAGCCCUGUAAUUUACGGUUCCUGCAGUAAAAUCACAGAACUUUGUGUCACCACUCCAGUUCAGAGGGACACAGAGCUCCUCCAGACUCCUUUGCUGGCAAAGAAGGCUGUGCAUUAAUGAUGGAAUCAUUUAUAUUUCUGUCAAGCUGAUGCCAAAAUGUCCACAUCACUU